UACAGAGGGUGCGAGCGUUAAUCGGAAUUACUGGGCGUAAAGCGCACGUAGUCGGCUUUGCAAGUCGGUUGUGAAAUCCCCGGGCUCAACCUGGGAACUGCAUCCGAGACUGCAUUGCUAGAGUAUGGGAGAGGGAAGCGGAAUUUCUGGUGUAGCAGUGAAAUGCGUAGAUAUCAGAAGGAACAUCAGUGGCGAAGGCGGCUUCCUGGACCAAUACUGACGAUCAGGUGCGAAAGCGUGGGGAGCAAACGGG
rnacentral:rRNA from 1 species